UUCCAGAUUGCCUAUGUGAUCGUGAAAGCAGCCAACUCCCCUCGGCCUGGAAACUGGAUUUUGGAACGUUCCCUAGAUGAUGUGGAGUAUAAACCCUGGCAGUAUCAUGCAGUGACAGACACAGAGUGCCUGACUCUCUACAAUAUCUAUCCCCGCACUGGACCACCAUCCUAUGCCAAAGACGAUGAGGUCAUCUGCACUUCAUUUUAUUCCAAGAUCCACCCUUUAGAAAAUGGAGAGCAAUCUGGAUCCUCUUUAAACAAUUUAAGGAUUUAGAUUCCUGGGACACUCGGAUGAAUAAAGCCUUGGCAGAACCUGGUGACAGCUGCUUUCAUUCCACUUACACUCAUUCCCGGGCAUCCUGUCUUUGGAGUCCAAGCCAACAUGCACGGAAUUUACUGAGUCCUGAGUCCUUCAAGUUUCAGAAUCCAACUUUUGCCUCCUUCUUAAACAGGGCCGUCAAAGCAUUUCUUCAUCUUCUCAGCUAUAUCUUCAGGAUGGGAACAGGCCCACAGGACUGGACAUGCCACCAUGCACCAGUAGCUCUCUAGACAUUAUUUUUCAUCUUUUUGGUAGUUCCCAAUGGCUCUAAACAGAUGUUCCUGUGUGUGCUUUAUGUGAUUUGGUUGGUGUUUGUCAUUGGAAAUGUUCGUCUUGGUUAUCUAACCUAGUGGAGAGAGCAUCAAAAUCAUCACUUUUAAAUUUUGGAAUUGUGUUAUAUUUACAUAAUUAUGAGAUACAGAGAAUCAAGACAUAGUUUUACACUGAUGCUGCUAUAGCUAAUGUCUUGUACAAGGCAUUUGCCAAAGAUAAACAGUCAACUUUCAUUAGUCCAGCAUUCUGCACCAAAGUACUGACUGUUUGGAUAUUGUUAAUUUUUCCAUUAGUGUCUGUUUUUCUCAUCUGGGAUUCAAUUUAGGGGACAACAUUGGAUUUAGACUUGUAUCUGCUUCAAAACCUCUGAUCUGCAAUAGUUCUAAAAGAUUUUAAUACCUGUUUGAAAAGAUACUUCAUAGACUAUUAUUCAUUUUGGACCUGCCUGAUGUCUUAUAAUUAAAUUGACCUUCUGAAUUUGGGGGAAGAAUACCAUGGAGGAAACAGCUGUCUCUUGCACCUCAUAUUUAAUUUCAUAUACAUUGUUUAUAUUCAAUCAUUGGAUUAUACUUUUACAUAACUUUUCAUUUGGAGUAACAGUGUCUACAUAUUCACAGCAAUCUGAAAUAUGUGUUUUUGACUAAGCAUAGAAUAAUCAGUUUUAUUCAGAACUUGGUAAUAUCUUGAAGUAUAAAAUGAAGUCAUAAGUAAGAAAAAAGAUUGUUUUAAAGUUCAUCAAUGAAAAAGGCAUGAUGAAAUAAACACAUCUUAAGUGUGA